rnacentral:tRNA from 1 species
ACUCUUGAGGGCUAGUGGUUAGGCCACGGCGCUCUCAUCGCCAUGGCCCGGGUUCGAUUCCCGGCCAGGGAA